rnacentral:rRNA from 1 species
ACGGGUGAGUAACGCGUGGAUAACCUGCCGUAUACAGGGGGAUGACACUUAGAAAUAGGUGCUAAUACCGCAUAAGCGCACGGUUCCGCAUGGAACAGUGUGAGAAACUCCGGUGGUAUACGAUGGAUCCGCGUCUGAUUAGCCAGUUGGCGGGGUAACGGCCCACCAAAACGACGAUCAGUAGCCGGCCUGAGAGGGUGAACGGCCACAUUGGGACUGAGACACGGCCCAAACUCCUACGGGAGGCAGCAGUGGGGAAUAUUGCACAAUGGGGGAAACCCUGAUGCAGCGACGCCGCGUGAGUGAAGAAGUAUCUCGGUACGUAAAGCUCUAUCAGCAGGGAAGAAAAUGACGGUACCUGAUUAAGAAGCCCCGGCUAACUACGUGCCAGCAGCCGCGGUAAUACGUAGGGGGCAAGCGUUAUCCGGAUUUACUGGGUGUAAAGGGAGCGUAGACGGCAGCGCAAGUCUGGAGUGAAAUGCCGGGGCCCAACCCCGGAACUGCUUUGGAAACUGUGCAGCUCGAGUGCAGGAGAGGUAAGCGGAAUUCCUAGUGUAGCGGUGAAAUGCGUAGAUAUUAGGAGGAACACCAGUGGCGAAGGCGGCUUACUGGACUGUAACUGACGUUGAGGCUCGAAAGCGUGGGGAGCAAACAGGAUUAGAUACCCUGGUAGUCCACGCCGUAAACGAUGAUUACUAGGUGUCGGGGGGCCAAGGCCCUCCGGUGCCGGCGCAAACG